CGUCCGAUGGAUGGCUUGGUUUGGGCGCUGAUGAAGGGCGUGGCAAGCUGCGAUAAGCCUCGGCGAGGUGCAAGCAACCAAAGAACCGAGGAUUCCCUAAUAGGAUGUCCUACUCUUGUUAGAGUACUCCGUAUAGGAGGAGGAACGUGGGGAAUUGAAGCAUCUUAGUACCCAUAGGAAAAGAAAUCAAAAAGAGAUGCCGUGAGUAAAGGCGAUCGAAAACGGCAGAGUCCAAACUGAAUCCUCGUUAAGAGGAGAUGUAGUGUUUUAGGACCUAAUGUACGCUUGGCAAAAGAAACCGAAGUUCCUUUGAAUAGGAUGCCAUAGAGGGUGAUAGCCCCGUAGGUGUAAUUUUGCCAAGUAUUUGAUUGGGUAUCCUGAGUAGUGUGGGUCGGAAAUCCCGCAUGAAGUUGGGGGACACUAACCUCCAAGACUAAAUACGUCCCAAAACCGAUAGUGCAAUAGUACCGUGAGGGAAAGCUGAAAAGUACCUCUAGAAAAGAGGUGAAAAGUGCCUAAAAUCGGGCGGUUAUUGUGUGAUAUGGCUCAGAAGGAUCGAAUCUUCUCGAAGGAAAUCUUUGUAAAGGGAGAGUACGAGAGAAGAGGACCAGGGUCAUAUUGUACGUGGUGAAAUACGGGCCAGGGAGUGUAUUCGAGUGGUAAGGCUAAAUCGAAAAGAUGAAGCCGAAGGGAAACCAACAGGUGCGUAGCCUGUAUAGGCGUGGCACGACGUUUUUAGAGCGUGAAAUCACUCGAAUACGACCCGAAACCAGGUGAUCUAAGCGUGGGCAGGAUGAAGCGUGACGAAAGUUGCGUGGAGGUCCGUAGAGAUGUUGAUGUGCAAAUCACUCUUUUGACCUGCGUUUAGUGGUGAAAGUCCAAUCAAACCUGGAUAUAGCUGGUUCCUCCCAAAACAUGUCGUAGCAUGACCUCAUCAGAGAUGGAUAGUAUGGUAGAGAACUGAAUUGGAGGCUAGGGAAGGAAACUUCUCUCCUCCUUAUCAAACUCCGAACAUACUAUCGUCAUAGAAGAUGGGAGUCCGGGUUGGGGGAUAAACUUCUAACCCGAGAGGGGAACAACCCUGACCGGAGUUAAGGUCCCUAAAUGUCAGUUAAGUGUUAAGGGUAAAAGGCUUAUAUACCUAAGACAGCUGGAAGGUUAGCUUAGAAGCAGCUAUCCUUUAAAGAGUGCGUAAAAGCUCACCAGUCGAGGUGUAUAAACCUUAAAAUGGACGGGGCUAAAACUGACUACCGAGACUCCGGGGCACCGAGAGGUGAUCCGGUAGGGAGGCGUUCGGGAUGGGUAGAAGCAAGGCCGUGAGGUCUUGUGGACCGUCUUGAAAUGAAGAUCCUGGCAAUAGUAGCAGCAUAAUUCCGUGAGAAUCGGAAUCGCCGGAAGGGCUAGGUUUCUUCGGCACUGUUCGUCAGCCGAAGGUUAGCCGGUCCUAAGAUAAGUCGUAAUUCGAGCUUAUCAAAAGGGAAACAGGUUAAUAUUCCUGUGCCGCUAUUUUACUUAGUUAAGAAGAGGACGCUUUGGGAUAGGCUGGGCUGUCUUGUCUGGCAGUCUAAGCUUUUGAAACCCGUGGAGAACCGUAAUGGUGAGAAGCGGGUGAAGAGGUGAUGGCGAAAGCCAGCUGAUUCCGAGAGCCCGUGAAAACCCUUCUUGAUGUAAAAUAGUGACCGUACCAAGAACCGACACAGGUGCCCCUAGGUGAAUAGCCUAAGGCGUGUCGGAUUUAAUCAAGCCAAGGGAACUCGACAAAUUAGCCCCGUAUCUUAGGUAUAAGGGGUGUCUGCCGUGAAGACGGCAGAUCGCAGUGACAAAGAGGCUUCGACUGUUUAAUAAAAACAUAGGUGGUCGCAAACCCGUAAGGGCUGGUAUGACCAUUGAGUCCUGCCCAGUGCCGGUACCUGAAAGCCCUUUUCAAGGGGAAGAAGGGCCGGUAAACGGCGGGGGUAACUAUGACCCUCUUAAGGUAGCGUAAUACCUUGCCGCUUAAUUGGCGGCUUGCAUGAAAGGAUUAACGAGAGCCUCACUGUCCCUGGCUUGAAUCCGGUGAAAUUGACGUCCCAGUGUGAAGUCUGGGGUUUCCCAAUGGGAAGUGAAGACCCCGUGGAGCUUAACUGUAGCCUGUCGCUGGAAUACGGUCUUGGAUGUGCAGAGUAGGUAGGAGGCGUAGAAGUCUUCUCGCCAGGGAAGAUGGAGCCGUCGAUGAGACACUACCCUUCUGAGGCUGUAUUUCUAACUUCGAGAGAAGAACAACGAUUGGUGGACAGUUUGGGUGGGGCGCCACCCCGCUGAAAAGAUAUCGGCGGGGCCCAAAGGUCGGCUCAGGUGAGUCAGAAACUUACCGUAGAGUGUAAGGGCAUAAGCCGGCUUGAUGUGAUUCUGGAUAACAGGGAAUCACAAACCGAAAGGUGGGCCUAACGAACUUUUAAAUCCCUCUUAGUGAGGGUUAAAAACAACAGAAAAGCUACCCCGGGGAUAACAGAGUUGUCGCCAGCAAGAGUACAUAUCGACCUGGCGGUUUGCUACUUCGAUGUCGGCUCUUCCUAUCCUGGCUGUGCAGCAGCGGCCAAGGGUGGGGGAGUUCACCCAUUAAAAGGGAUCGUGAGCUGGGUUUAGACCGUCGCGAGACAGGUUGGUUACUAUCUAUUGGGAAUGCACGAACAUCUGAGAGGAGGUUGGAAGUAGUACGAGAGGAACCUUCUAACGGUGCCUCUGGUUUACCAGUUGUCCGACAGGGCAAUGCUGGGCAGCUACGCACCACCAGAUAAGAGCUGAAAGCAUCUAAGCUCGAAACUGACCUCAAAAAUAGAUGUUCUUAAGGGUACCUCUAAAAGAGAGGAUUGAUAGAGUUGGGGUGUAAGCACUAAGGUAACGAGGUGUUCAGCCUGCAACCACUAACAACCCGA
rnacentral:rRNA from 1 species